rnacentral:rRNA from 1 species
AUUGAACGCUGGCGACAGGCCUAACACAUGCAAGUCGAGCGGAUGAGGGGAGCUUGCUCUCUGAUUCAGCGGCGGACGGGUGAGUAAUGCCUAGGAAUCUGCCUGGUAGUGGGGGACAACGUUUCGAAAGGAACGCUAAUACCGCAUACGUCCUACGGGAGAAAGCAGGGGACCUUGGGGCCUUGCGCUAUCAGAUGAGCCUAGGUCGGGUUAGCUAGUUGGUGGGGUAAAGGCUCACCAAGGCGACGAUCCGUAACUGGUCUGAGAGGAUGAUCAGUCACACUGGAACUGAGACACGGUCCAGACUCCUACGGGAGGCAGCAGUGGGGAAUAUUGGACAAUGGGCGAAAGCCUGAUCCAGCCAUGCCGCGUGUGUGAAGAAGGUCUUCGGAUUGUAAAGCACUUUAAGUUGGGAGGAAGGGCAGUAAGUUAAUACCUUGCUGUUUUGACGUUACCGACAGAAUAAGCACCGGCUAACUUCGUGCCAGCCGCCGCCGUAAUAC